CCACUGCUGCCUCCUCCCUCAGCUCAAAGAAGCAUCCUAAAUGCACCCAAAGCCUUUUGAUUAACCUCUGUGGUCUUUUAAGAUGCACCUCCAGUCACCCAAUUAGUACCUUGUUAACCAACACCUGCAGUGUAUUUACUCCUUGAUAUUACACUGCUUUUAAGCCUCAAUGUGAAGAUGUAAGUACAUCCUUCUAGGCAGCUUUCUGCAAAGGGUUUGGUGAGAAAAACUUAUUUAUGCAAGAAUAGAGUAAUUUUCAGGGCUUAUCAAUGCUGAGGCUUUUUGCUUCUCUGCUCCCUCCAUCACAGACACAUCCUUCAGCACUCUGAAUACUCACAUGCAUGUGAAAGGCUGAUGUGAGCUCCUCAAGGCUGGAAAAUCUGGCCUUACUGACCAUUUUGUCAGCCACCAUGGGCUCCAAGAGACUUCAUCUAUCAGCAGACUUGGGGCAAAUCCUAUUAUCAGGAGUUGCUAUCACCAGAGUGGAUGUCAUUAUAUAUUACGAAAAGAUGUAGCAGGAGGCAUUGCUUGGAGGAGCCAUGAUAUUUUUAUAUGUGUGGAAAGAAGCAGAGCAACUGUGGGAAAAGAGAAAGGGAAACAACCAAAGGAAUUUGGGAAGUGAAGAGAAACUGCCCAGACAACAUGGCUAAGUAGCUUUGGCCACAGUAAAUAAAUUUAUUUGGAAAUUAGCUGCAUCUAAAUGGUUUUGUCACAUGUUCAGUGUGAUGUAGAAACCUAGACCUGCUGUUAACACAGUGGUUUGCACAGGUAAGCAAGCUUGUGAAUAGUGUGUGCUAUGAGUAGGCAGUUUAAACUAGUAGAUACCAGAACACACUAGAUUUCAGCUGGCUAAAACCUUAAUGUAUUUCUGUGUAUUUUCUUACUUUUUAUUCUUCCCUCUACAAUCUGGAAACAUGAUAAAGAGAAGCUCUGCCCCAACAGUAACACAUUCAAACAUCUUCAUUUCUAAAUGACAACAAAUAAUAAAGAUACUUACAUUUUACUAAAACUGGAGAUAUACUAAAAUAGGGACAUGAGCUAAUUGCAUCAAAAUAUCCAGUAUUGUAGUUGCACCAGCCAAGAACAAAGUCCCUGAUUCAUAGAAAUGCUGAGAACCUGCUGCUCCAGUUGAAGAAGCUGGGAGAGGCAGGCUGUCAUCAUGUCUGGCAGUCAGACCAUGUGUGAUUCAGUUUGAGGCCCUCAAGUCUGCAGCCUUCAUGUAUUACCUUGGCUGUAACUGUGGUUAAAUCUGCAUUGGAUGUUAUGCUAUAGCAAACUGCUGGACUCUAAUCUUGCACAAAGUCCUAGCUUCUCCCACAAGAACACAGACUGCUUCUCCACGGGUCAGUCUUAACAUGGAGCUCUAUAAAUGCAGUGUUCGAUAAUCUUACUUUAAAAUAAGUUCUUCAACAUUCAUUGGGCCUUUGUGACCAGGCUAAGUGUAGGUGCACAUCCUGCCCAGGGCAGAAUGAAUUGAAUCCUAGCUGCCUUCUGCUGGGGUGAGUAUCCCUAGUUUUAAAUGAACAAAUGUUGGCAGUGAUGCAAGUAAGGUUUGUACUGUAGUGGGGGAGCUAGAAAUAUCAGCUUGGAAAAGGUUCAGUGUUUGGGUUUAAAUCCCAGAAGAAACAUAUGAAUGUGAUUGUAUUUUUUGAUUUCAGCAUAUUAGCAACAGCACGGGAACAGCUAUAUGUCAGGGAUCAGCUGCUCUUUAAAAAUCUAAAAGCAGCAGCAGAUCUCUCACAAGUUCUUGGUCCCUCUGUUUCUUGAACAGUGUGUAACACGCAGUCUGCCCGUUCUGUGCUCCGUUUGCUGAGUGGCUCAAGUAAAUAAAAAGUCCUAACAGAAGUUGCAAAUUGUGCCAAAACAUAAACUUGGGCUUAUAUAGCUUGUAAGCUUACUG